rnacentral:rRNA from 1 species
CACGUAGGGGGCAAGCGUUGUCCGGAUUUAUUGGGCGUAAAGAGCUCGUAGGCGGCUUAGUAAGUCGGGUGUGAAACCUCCAGGCUCAACCUGGAGACGCCACCCGAUACUGCUGUGGCUAGAGUCCGGUAGGGGAGCGUGGAAUUCCUGGUGUAGCGGUGAAAUGCGCAGAUAUCAAGCGGAACACCGGUGGCGAAGGCGGCCUUCUGGACAGUGACUGACGCUGAGACGCGAAAGCGUGGGGAGCAAACAGG